rnacentral:rRNA from 1 species
GACGAACGCUGGCGGCGUGCUUAACACAUGCAAGUCGAGCGGUAAGGCUCCUUCGGGAGUACACGAGCGGCGAACGGGUGAGUAACACGUGAGUAAUCUGCCCUUCACUUUGGGAUAACCACCGGAAACGGUGGCUAAUACCGAAUACGACCAGUCUUCGCAUGAGGUGCUGGUGGAAAGUCUUUUCGGUGAAGGAUGUGCUCGCGGCCUCUCAGCUUGUUGGUGGGGUAAUGGCCUACCAAGGCUUCGACGGGUAGCCGGCCUGAGAGGGUGACCGGCCACACUGGGACUGAGACACGGCCCAGACUCCUACGGGAGGCAGCAGUGGGGAAUAUUGGACAAUGGGCGAAAGCCUGAUCCAGCAACGCCGCGUGAGGGAUGACGGCCUUCGAGUUGUAAACCUCUUUCAGUACCGACGAAGCGCCCUGUCGGGUGGUGACGGUAGGUACAGAAGAAGGACCGGCCAACUACGUG